AAAUGAAUAGACGGGGGCCCGCACAAGCAGUGGAGUAUGUGGUUUAAUUCGAAGCAACGCGAAGAACCUUACCAGGGCUUGACAUCCCACGGACACAGGCGAAAGUCUGUAGGCUCGCAAGAGACGUGGAGACAGGUGGUGCAUGGUUGUCGUCAGCUCGUGUCGUGAGAUGUUGGGUUAAGUCCCGCAACGAGCGCAACCCUUGUGGUUAGUUGCCAGCGGGUGAAGCCGGGCACUCUAACCAGACUGCCGGCGACAAGUCGGAGGAAGGUGGGGAUGACGUCAAAUCAUCAUGCCCUUUAUGUUCUGGGCUACACACGUACUACAAUGGCCGUAACAGAGGGGAGCGAAGUGGCGACACGGAGCGAAUCCCAAAAAAGCGGUCCCAGUUCAGAUUGCGGGCUGAAACCCGCCCGCAUGAAGGAGGAAUUGCUAGUAAUCGCAGAUCAGCAUGCUGCGGUGAAUACGUUCCCGGGCCUUGUACACACCGCCCGU
rnacentral:rRNA from 1 species